UAAAACUUUCAACAACGGAUCUCUUGGUUCUGGCAUCGAUGAAGAACGCAGCGAAAUGCGAUAAGUAAUGUGAAUUGCAGAAUUCAGUGAAUCAUCGAAUCUUUGAACGCACAUUGCGCCCCCUGGUAUUCCGGGGGGCAUGCCUGUUCGAGCGUCAU
rnacentral:rRNA from 3 species